GCGCCGAUGGGGUAGUGGUAACCUGGGUCGUUGCCAUGCAGCAACAUCGACCCGCCGGGGGUUCGAUUCCCCCUCGGCGCA